rnacentral:rRNA from 1 species
CGGCAUGCCUUACACAUGCAAGUCGAACGGCAGCACGGGAGCAAUCCUGGUGGCGAGUGGCGAACGGGUGAGUAAUAUAUCGGAACGUGCCCAGUCGUGGGGGAUAACGUAGCGAAAGCUACGCUAAUACCGCAUACGAUCUAUGGAUGAAAGCGGGGGAUCUUCGGACCUCGCGCCAUUAGAUGAGCCUAGGUCGGAUUAGCUAGUUGGUGAGGUAAUGGCUCACCAAGGCGACGAUCCGUAACUGGUCUGAGAGGAUGAUCAGUCACACUGGAACUGAGACACGGUCCAGACUCCUACGGGAGGCAGCAGUGGGGAAUAUUGGACAAUGGGCGAAAGCCUGAUCCAGCCAUGCCGCGUGUGUGAAGAAGGUCUUCGGAUUGUAAAGCACUUUAAGUUGGGAGGAAGGGUAGUAACCUAAUACGUUGCUACUUUGACGUUACCGACAGAAUAAGCACCGGCUAACUUCGUG